CCGUAAGGGAGGAAGCCACCUAAGGUAGGGUCAGCGAUUGGGGUGAAGUCGUAACAAGGUAGCCGUAGGAGAACCUGCGGCUGGAUCACCUCCUUUCUAUGGAGA
rnacentral:rRNA from 1 species